rnacentral:rRNA from 1 species
GAUGAACGCUGGCGGCGUGCCUAAUACAUGCAAGUCGAGCGAACAGACGAGGAGCUUGCUCCUCUGACGUUGGCGGCGGACGGGUGAGUAACACGUGGAUAACCUACCUAUAAGACUGGGAUAACUUCGGGAGACCGGAGCUAAUACCGGAUAAUAUAUUGAACCGCAUGGUUCAAUAGUGAAAGACGGUUUUGCUGUCACUUAUAGAUGGAUCCGCGCCGCAUUAGCUAGUUGGUAAGGUAACGGCUUACCAAGGCAACGAUGCGUAGCCGACCUGAGAGGGUGAUCGGCCACACUGGAACUGAGACACGGUCCAGACUCCUACGGGAGGCAGCAGUAGGGAAUCUUCCGCAAUGGGCGAAAGCCUGACGGAGCAACGCCGCGUGAGUGAUGAAGGUCUUCGGAUCGUAAAACUCUGUUAUUAGGGAAGAACAAAUGUGUAAGUAACUAUGCACGUCUUGACGGUACCUAAUCAGAAAGCCACGGCUAACUACGUG